GGCUUACCAUGCAGUCGAGGGGUAACAGAUCUUCGGAUGCUGACGACCGGCGAACGGGUGAGUAACACGUAUGCAACUUACCCAUAACUCGGGAAUAGCCCAAAGAAAUUUGGAUUAAUACCCAAUAAUACAGGCGUACCGCAUGGUAUUCUUCGUUAAAGAAUAAUCGGUUAUGGAUAGGCAUGCGUUCUAUUAGGUAGUUGGUGAGGUAACGGCUCACCAAGCCGACGAUGGAUAGGGGAACUGAGAGGUUGUCCCCCCACACUGGUACUGAGACACGGACCAGACUCCUACGGGAGGCAGCAGUGAGGAAUAUUGGUCAAUGGACGAAAGUCUGAACCAGCCAAAUCGCGUGAAGGAAGAAGGUAUUAUGUAUCGUAAACUUCUUUUGUAAGAGAGUAAAGUGCACUACGUGUAGUGUAUUGCAAGUACCUUACGAAUAAGCAUCGGCUAAUUCCGUGCCAGCAGCCGCGGUAAUACGGAAGAUGCAAGUGUUAUCCGGAUUUAUUGGGUUUAAAGGGUGCGUAGGUGGUCUAAUAAGUCAGUGGUGAAAUCUCUUUGCUUAACAAGGAAAUUGCCAUUGAAACUGUUAGACUUGAGAAUGGACGAGGUAGGCGGAAUUCGUAGUGUAGCGGUGAAAUGCAUAGAUAUUACGAAGAACUCCAAUAGUGUAGACUGCUUACCAGACCAUAUCUGACACUAAGGCACGAAAGUGUGGGUAUCAAACAGGAUUAGAUACCCUGGUAGUCCACACAGUAAACGAUGAAUACUAACUGUUUGCGAUAUACAGCAAGUGGUCGAGCGAAAGCGUUAAGUAUUCCACCUGGGAAGUAUGCCGGCACGGUGAAACCCAAGAAUUGACGGGGCCGCCAGCGAGACUGAGCAUGUGGUUUAUUCGAUCAUAC
rnacentral:rRNA from 1 species